rnacentral:rRNA from 1 species
UACGGGGGGGGGUAAGCGUUGUUCGGAAUUACUGGGCGUAAAGGGCGCGUAGGCGGGCGAUCAAGUCGGUGGUGAAAUCCUACAGCUUAACUGUAGAACUGCCUCCGAUACUGGUUGUCUCGAGGAAGGUAGGGGCGUGCGGAACAGUUGGUGGAGCGGUGAAAUGCGUUGAUAUCAACUGGAACUCCGGUGGCGAAGGCGGCACGCUGGACCUUUUCUGACGCUGAGGCGCGAAAGCCAGGGGAGCAAACGGG